GUCCGUGCACGCCCGUAAGUGUGUCGCCUCACAUAAUAAUCCAUCUCACCCUUUUGUGCAUCACCGCGUGGGCACCCCUUUGGGAUCAUCUCGGAGGGGGCUCGCGUUUUCACACAAAACCCCCCUUUUAAAAGUGUAGAAUGACCUCAUUUAUGCGCUAACCCGCAAUCAAUACAACUUUCAACAACGGAUCUCUUGGCUCUCGCAUCGAUGAAGAACGCAGCGAAAUGCGAUACGUAAUGUGAAUUGCAGAAUUCAGUGAAUCAUCGAAUCUUUGAACGCACCUUGCGCCCCCUGGUAUUCCGAGGGGCACACCCGUUUGAGUGUCGUGAAAACCUCAACCUCCUUGGUUUCUUCUGGAGACCAAAGCAGGCUUGGACUUUGGAGGCCUUUGCUGGCACCUCUCGCCAGCUCCUCUUAAAUGAAUUAGCAGGGUCCUCUUUGCUGAUCCUCGACGUGUGAUAAGAUGUUUCCAUGUCUUGGUUUCUGGCUCUGUCACCUUUGGGACCCGCUUCUAACCGUCUUCAACCUUGCGUUGAGACAACGUUCGAGCAUGUCUCCCUUCUCGGGAAGCUCCCUCGACCCCACGAACCCUUGACCUCAAAUCGGGUGAGACUACCCGCUGAAC
rnacentral:misc_RNA from 1 species